rnacentral:rRNA from 1 species
UGCUUAAUACAUGCAAGUCGAACGCGUGUAGCAAUACACGAGUGGCGGACGGGUGAGUAACGCGUGGGAACCUGCCCAGUGGUAGGGAAUAACUGCGGGAAACUGCAGCUAAUACCCUAUGCACCCUACGGGGGAAAGAUUCAUCGCCAUUGGAGGGGCCCGCGUCGGAUUAGCUAGUUGGUGGGGUAAUGGCCUACCAAGGCAGCGAUCCGUAGCUGGUCUGAGAGGAUGAUCAGCCACACUGGGACUGAGAUACGGCCCAGACUCCUACGGGAGGCAGCAGUGGGGAAUAUUGGACAAUGGGGGAAACCCUGAUCCAGCAAUGCCGCGUGAGUGAAGAAGGCCUUAGGGUUGUAAAGCUCUUUCGGCGGGGACGAUGAUGACGGUACCCGCAGAAGAAGCCCCGGCUAACUUCGUGCCAGCAGCCGCGGUAAUACGAAGGGGGCUAGCGUUGUCCGGAAUUAUUGGGCGUAAAGAGCUCGUAGGCGGUCUGUCGCGUCGGCUGUGAAAACUCGGGGCUCAACUCCGAGCUUGCAGUCGAUACGGGCAGGCUAGAGUUCGGCAGGGGAGACUGGAAUUCCUGGUGUAGCGGUGAAAUGCGCAGAUAUCAGGAGGAACACCGGUGGCGAAGGCGGGUCUCUGGGCCGAUACUGACGCUGAGGAGCGAAAGCGUGGGGAGCGAACAGGAUUAGAUACCCUGGUAGUCCACGCCGUAAACGUUGGGCGCUAGGUGUGGGAUCCCUUCCACGGGUUCCGUGCCGCAGCUAACGCAUUAAGCGCCCCGCCUGGGGAGUACGGCCGCAAGGCUAAAACUCAAAGGAAUUGACGGGGGCCCGCACAAGCGGCGGAGCAUGUGGAUUAAUUCGAUGCAACGCGAAGAACCUUACCUGGGUUUGACAUACACCGGAAAGCCGUGGAGACAUGGCCUCCGCAAGGCCGGUGUACAGGUGGUGCAUGGCUGUCGUCAGCUCGUGUCGUGAGAUGUUGGGUUAAGUCCCGCAACGAGCGCAACCCUCGUCCCAUGUUGCCAGCGGGUUAUGCCGGGGACUCAUGGGAGACUGCCGGGGUCAACUCGGAGGAAGGUGGGGACGACGUCAAGUCAUCAUGCCCCUUAUGUCCAGGGCUUCACACAUGCUACAAUGGCCGGUACAAAGGGCUGCUAAGCCGUAAGGUGGAGCGAAUCCCACAAAGCCGGUCUCAGUUCGGAUCGGGGUCUGCAACUCGACCCCGUGAAGUCGGAGUCGCUAGUAAUCGCAGAUCAGCAACGCUGCGGUGAAUACGUUCCCGGGCCUUGCACACACCGCCCGUCAC